rnacentral:rRNA from 1 species
UGGGGAAUAUUGCCAAUGGGCGCAAGCCUGAUGCAGCCAUGCCGCGUGAGUGAAGAAGGCCUUAGGGUUGUAAAGCUCUUUCAGCUGUGAGGAAAGGGGCGUCGUCAAUAGCAGAAACCCUUGACGACUGCUGCCCAACAAGCACCGGCUAACUCCGUGCCAGCAGCCGCGGUAAUA